CAGUCAUGUGACCAGCUACACCAGACACCACAAUUACAGGACUGCACUUUACAUGUGAAUUCAGGUUCCUCAGGUACAGGAUUCUACUUUUUAAAGACAAUAGACCGUUCCAUCAAUGACCCAUCAAGGAUGGAGAAGGACAGAGAAAACAUGGCUGCAAGGAUAUUAGACCUCACCCUGGAGAUCAUCUCCUUGAUAACUGGAGAGGAUUACACAGUAGUGAAGAAGUCGUCUGGUGAGUGUGUGACACCCUGUGUGUCAGGAGG